UAUGUUUUAUUUUAUUGUGGCUAUCUACACACCCACUUAGAUCUAUUUGGAUCAUUGCAUGUUCCGUAAAUCCUUCCAUGUGCAUGUAUAAUGUAGUUUACGGAGCACGCAAGUGUGAUCCAAGUCAAGUCAGUAUCUAUGGUCAUAAAAUCUAUGCUAUGGUCAAGUGGAGUGGUUGUCCCUAAAAAGCGAACCGGACCGGACAAAUGGACCCGAAAAGACUAAUUUACGGACCGAGCGACGGACCCGAUACAAACUAAUUUAUGGACCCGACCAAGGGACCCGAAAAGCUAAAGUACGGACCCCGCGUUAAUGACCACGGACCUGACCGACCUAGCAGCAUAGAUAUCUAUGCUAGUAUCAGUAUCUAUGAUCUUGCAAACUCUAUGAUGGCCUAGACAACAUACAGAACUUCCGUGAAAAAAAUGAUUUUUAUCUAUGGUGAUAGUGAUGCUAUCAGUUGAGUCAUAAUACAAUCAAUGAGGCCGUAGUUCAUUGUAUUGAUCACUGAUGUCUGUAAUUUCAACUUGAUGAUCGGCAAUGAGAAUGAGAACGGUUAAGAAGCUAGAUAAAACAAGCACUGAAGGCCUGACCAAGGAAGCACAUGAUGGCCAUGAAGCCAGAAUAUAAAGAAAAAAAAGAAGUGAAAAAGAAAAGAAAAAGAAA